rnacentral:lncRNA from 1 species
CAGCAUGGUCUACAAAGUAAGUUCCAGGACAGCCAGGGUCACACAGAGAAACCCCUGCCUCAAAAAAACAAAGAUAGAUAAAUAAAAAUGUCAGUUCUAAAAACAAUCUCAUGGCACUAAAAUGGGGAAAAUAAUUAAACUCAGCUUCCAGGAGCCAAUGGAGAAUUGUAGUUGACUCCAGCAAAUAAUCUGUACCAUGUAAAGUCAACGUUCAUAGACUCUCGUAAUAAUUUCACAGGUUACAUAUUAUCACUCAGAAAGAGUUCUGCAAAAAGGCUCUUGGGGCUGAAGAAACUGUAGACAAAAUUUGCUCCAACUUUUUCUGACCUUCCUACAAAAACCCCACAAGCACGUAGUAGUGAAUGUUGAUUUUAUGAUUCCUGCUGUUCCUUUAACUAGUGUUAAGAAUAACAUUCUUGGGUAUAAUUUUCAAGUACUCCAACUGAAAUUCCCAUUACUGGAAGAUCUGUGGAUUUUAGUUGUUUGCUACACCUUGCCUUGAGUACCAUGGCUUGGCUUGGUGGGUGGGGUUGGGGGUGGAGGGGUUCAAUUUGUAGUGAAUGAUUAAAAAGGUAGAGUCUAACAGCCGAGUUAACCAAUUUUUACAUGUUCAAAGAUUGAGCUAUAUACCCGACUCCCACCAACUCCUAAAGGAACUACUCAAAGUGAGUUCAGCUGUGUACGGUGUUGUACUCCUGUAAUCCCAGCAAAGACAGGAGGGUUGCCAG